rnacentral:miRNA from 1 species
AAAAAUGAUUGGAGUGUUUG